rnacentral:tRNA from 1 species
AUUUAUUUAGUAUAAUAGUAUAAUUAAUUUCCAAUUAAUAGGUCUAAAGGCUAGAAUAUUUG